rnacentral:rRNA from 1 species
CCUACGGGGUGCAGCAGUGAGGAAUAUUGGUCAAUGGGCGCGAGCCUGAACCAGCAACGUAGCGUGAAGGAUGACUGCCCUACGGUUUUUAACCUCCUUUUAUAAAGGCAUAAAGUGAGGCACUUGUUCCUUUUUAUAUGUACUUUAUCAAUAUGCCUCGACUCACUCCAUUCCAGCAGCCGCGGUAAUACGGAGGAUCCGAGAGUUAUCCGGAUUUAUUGGGCUUAAAGGCAGCGUAGAUGGGAUGUUAAGUCAGUUGUGAAAGUUUGCGGCUCAACCGUAAAAUUGCAAUUGAUACUGGCAGCCUUGAGUACAGGUGAGGUAAGCGGAAUUCGGGGUGUAGCGGUGAAAUGCGUAGAUAUAACGAAGAACACCGAUGGCGAAGGCAGAUUACUAAACUGCCACUGACACUGAGGCUCGAAAGUGUGGGGAGCAAACAGGAUUAGAUACCCUGGUAGUC